UACGUAGGGUGCGAGCGUUGUCCGGAAUUAUUGGGCGUAAAGAGCUUGUAGGCGGUUUGUCGCGUCUUCUGUGAAAAUCCGGGGCUCAACCCCGGACUUGCAGUGGGUACGGGCAGACUAGAGUGCUGUAGGGGAGACUGGAAUUCCUGGUGUAGCGGUGAAAUGCGCAGAUAUCAGGAGGAACACCGGUGGCGAAGGCGGGUCUCUGGGUAGUAACUGACGCUGAGGAGCGAAAGCAUGGGUAGCGAACAGGAUUAGAUACCCCGGUAGUCCCU
rnacentral:rRNA from 1 species